rnacentral:tRNA from 1 species
GAGUCAUGGCCGAGUGGUUUAGGCUUUGGACUCAAGAUCCAGUGGACGUAUGUCUGCAUGGGUUUACAUGACUCA